AAUCCGGAGUCUUUUACAAAGCGGAGAAAUUUUCACCGAUCGCUCUCGUCUCCAGCUAAAUUUCUGAAGCCUCGUCAGAAAUCGGACGGAGCAAAAGGCAUGGACAAAAAUAAAUCAAGUGAUGCCUUGGAUGAGAUACCGACUUUCAAUGUCGAUAAUAUUCAAAACAACACGAGAAUUAUUAAUUACAGCCGCACAUUUAUGUCAAUUAUAGGCGGAGUUAUUGCCGGAAUUUUGGGAGUCAAUGGGUUGACUGGAAUUGUAUUCUAUUUCCUUGUCAUGGCAAUUACUACCGCGGGACUUGCUGCAAAGACUGAGUUUUCUGUUCAUUCUUAUUUUGAUAGCUGGAACAGGAUUGUAUUUGACGGCAUUUUAGGCGGACUUAUGGUAUGCAAUUCUUCUUCUUCUUUUUUU